GACCAUGCACCACUCUCAGUGACGAACUUCUUGUUGAUGACGACGAAGAACGCGUUUCGCUGAGGCCGUCCAAGGGACCGACACGGUGGAAGGGCCUUCUGGGUCUGAAGAAAAUCCACAUUGGGUCCAAGAAAGCUGACAAGGGCGAAUCCUCUGUUGAUAGUAAAAGGUCUGAUUUCGUUCGUGAGGAGGCCCAUGUUAGCAAAGACAUCGCCGGUUACUCGUGCACCAGAAGCGUCUUAAACCCAUGAUCUCACACUCCACCCAACUCUUAGGAGAGGAAAAAAUGCUGAAUUUUUUGAUGCGGAAGUUUCAGCAAGUUAUAUGUUUGUGGGCUAGUAUAGUUGGUAUGCUCUACUCGUCUCUGUUGGUUACCAAUUACCAUGCACUUAAUAAUGCUGUGGUCUUGAGAGAUUCAUAUGUACUUAUGUAGUGCUUGGAAGAGCAUGUUAAUGAAAACUCCAGUCUGUUUGAUGAUGUCGUCCAAUAUAUGUCUGAUUGUUGAACCAAGUAGUGAGUUAAAAUUAAAGAUAAUGAUAAUUGUGAGGAACAAAA